rnacentral:rRNA from 1 species
GGGCUAAUACCUUGUGUGGAUGACGGGACCGGAAUAAGAAGCACCGGCUAACUACCUGCCAGCAGCCGCGGUAAUACGUAGGGUGCGAGCGUUAAUCGGAAUUACUGGGCGUAAAGCGUGCGCAGGCGGUUUUUUAAGACAGGCGUGAAAUCCCCGGGCUUAACCUGGGAACUGCGCUUGUGACUGGAAGGCUAGAGUACGGCAGAGGGGGGUGGAAUU